AAGUCGUAACAAGGUCUCCGUAGGUGAACCUGCGGAGGGAUCAUUAACACAGAGGGAGCAGCACCAGUGAGGGGACUCUUUUGACGGAGCACCAACGCUGGUACUGACACUUCUCUUCUCAACACCCAUUUCACGUGAACUACUAUGACCCUAUUUUUCUGCCUUCGCAGCGCUUGCUGUGCUGGCUUUUUCAUUUUUGAAAUGAAACCCUUUCCAAUGUUAUUUCAACACUUGUAACUGUGCUGGAGCUCUGUGUGUGAGUGUCGUGUCUAGUGCAAACUAGCGCGCCUCGCAUGGCAUGGUCUCUGAAACUAUUACGAACUACAAUAGAGUACAACUCUUAGCAACGGAUAUCUUGGUUCUC
rnacentral:misc_RNA from 1 species